CUUUCGCAUCCUUCCACCCGCCGCGGAACGUGCGCGCAGGCGGAGGGCCGCGCCCGCGGAGGGCAGCGCCGCCGGCCGGUAUCUGCCCGCCCCGGGAGCCGCAGGCAGGAUCUGGAUGAAGAAGAAUAAGGGCUGUUCAACAGAAACCCCACUUAAAAGCCACGCUUAUCAGAUCCUCUUCUCUGGGAGACCUCUGCUGCUGGAGCUGUUACGCUAGACAUUCAUGGGGGAAUCCUGGAGAGGCACUAGAGGACAGUCAGCACUUCAGCCAGCUUGCACACUCAGUGCACACUCGUACUUGGGCCUUGUCAGUGCCGGGGAGGCUGGCCAUCGUGCCAAGUGCAAGCAGGACCAGAGCAAAGCAUCCCCAGACUUGGGCAAGAGAGCUGGAUGUGUGGGUCUCCCAACACACCCCAUGCUGCUGCUCAGACAGCUUGCCAUGAGGCGAAGCCCUGGGCCACGAGGCAAUGCUGAAGGCUAAUCCGAAACUGUGGAGACUACGCAGGCGCAACCAGUAAUUUUUCAUCUUCGAAUUAAAGUGUUGGUAGGCAUUAAGAGGAUAAUAUGGACCUGCAGGUGUGCCAUAAAGAUGCUCUUUUUCAUAUUCUUUGCAAGAUAUCUUCCUUACUCUUUGGCACAGCUCGCUCCCCAAACCUGGAAGUCUGAAUUGAAGUGACAAUUUGCUCCUCUCCUAGCUAAUUGGAACUAGAGCACAGAUAUUUCGCAAGACAAAAAUGAUGAGCUGGCUUCCCUGCAUCUGCUCUGUUUGUCUCCAUUUUUAUGUUUGUACUGUCUCGUCUGCUCUGCUAAACUGCCAGUCAUCUCCUGGGGACACUUCCUCUACUUGACAGCUUCGUAGGACUGUAUGACUUUCCCUCGUCACCAGCGUGUGCUUUUAGGUCCUGAGGCUGAGAUAAACCAUCUGGAAGCUGGACCUGUGGACAAGGCGGCUGCUCAGAAAGUGCCUUGUAGUUAUGGGUCUCCUCAUUACCACCGUGGCAGCUUUUUCGGAGCUUGGAGGAGCUCACUGCUAACGAAGGAGCGUUGCCCUCCUUCCGCUGAACCCACCUUGCGUGGCUCUAGAGGAGCUGGUGGCUGAAUUGCCACUGGCUCACCUUAAUCAAUUCAAUUUAUUUAAGGGUUUUAGGUUGCUGCAUAUGAAAGCCUCGCUGAUGGAGGUAUCACAUGGCUCUGCUUUGCCCACAGACAACGAUUUCAUCUUGUUAGUCUUCAUGUCAUAUUUUUGGCACUGCCUUCUGCGCUGUUGAGCAGGGGUUCCUACAACUCCCAGAAUGCAGCAGAUUUACAAGAAAAAGAUACUGGACAGAAAAAUUUCUUUUUUCUUUCAAUAAUCCUGAAAGUGAGCCGUGACUGAGCAGUCUGUGGCAGAAGGAUUUUCUUUUUUCAGAGUAUUUUGUAUUUUUGUCAUUGCACGGAAGGGUUAUGAGAACUUUAAAAGGGUUAAGACCUUAGCUGGGCCUGAGGACGCUUACAAGCUCUGGUGUUCUGUACUGCUCUGUCCUAUCAGAUUUCUUUCUGCCUCUCAUUGAAAUACUAACUUAUAUAACUGCCUAAUUCAUAUAAAUUUGCAAGGCAAUAAAUGGAACGAUAAAGUUUGUGCUCACAUACCUUAGGAACACCGACGUCACAUAAAAAUACAUAUCAAACGACCGCCUCAAACACCUAAAGCGACGUGUAGCCACAUUCAAUUCCUGCACUGCAAGCUGCUAAGCCUACGAAACGUAGUAAAAAUGCAAAGCACAAGGUGAAAAUGUGCCAGCCUCUUUAGAAAGCUGUGCAUAUCAUUGGCAAGGGCUGGUUUGCAUUAGCGCCUCGCAGUCCUUUGACUGAUUUGUUUCUUAGGUGUAACAGCUGCCUACAGGUUGUACCUACACAGGCGAAUCGAAUGUGACACAACGCCAGAAC